rnacentral:rRNA from 1 species
UACAUGGGGUGCAAACGUUGCUCGGAAUUAUUGGGCGUAAAGCGCGCGUAGGCGGUUACUUAAGUCGGAUGUGAAAGCCCUCGGCUUAACUGAGGAAGUGCACCCGAAACUGAGUAGCUAGAGUACGAAAGAGGGUCGCGGAAUUCCCGGUGUAGAGGUGAAAUGCAUAGAUAUCGUCAAGAACACCGAUAGCGAAGGCAGCUUACUAGACUGUAACUGACGCUGAGGCACGAAAGUGUGGGGAUCAAACAGG